GGCCCUGUCCAUGCCUGUAUGUUGUGUGCAUGGAAUAAUGGAAUAGGACCUCGGUUCUAUUUUGUUGGUUUCGGAAUCUGAGGUAAUGAUCAAUGGGGACAGGCGGGGGCAUUCGUAUUGCGACGUUAGAGGUGAAAUUCUUCGAUCGUCGCAAGACGGACCGAAGCGAAAGCAUUUGCCAAGUAUGUUCUCGUCGAUCAAGAACGAAAGUUAGAGGUUCGAAGGCGAUCAGAUACCGCCCUAGUUCUAACCAUAAACUAUGCCUGCCAGCGAUCCGCCGAAGUUCCUCCGAUGACUCGGCGGGCAGCUUCCGGGAAACCAGAGCUUUUGGGUUCCGGGGGAAGUAUGGUUGCAAAGCUGAAACUUAAAGGAAUUGACGGAAGGGCACCACCAGGAGUGGAGCCUGCGGCUUAAUUUGACUCAACACGGGAAAACUCACCAGGCCCGGACACCGGAAGGAUUGACAGAUUGAGAGCUCUUUCUUGAUUCGGUGGGUGGUGGUGCAUGGCCGUUCUUAGUUGGUGGAGCGAUUUGUCUGGUUAAUUCCGAUAACGAACGAGACUCUAGCCUACUAACUAGGCGUACCCGGUAUCCACAAUCGUGCUACCGGCGAUCAAAUUUCUUCUUAGAGGGACAGGCGGCUUCUAGCCGCACGAGACUGAGCAAUAACAGGUCUGUGAUGCCCUUAGAUGUCCUGGGCCGCACGCGCGCUACACUGAAGGAAUCAGCGUGUCUUCCCUGUCCGAAAGGACCGGGUAAUCCAAAAGGCCCUCCUUCGUGUUAGGGAUUGGGGCUUGCAAUGGUUCCCCAUCACCCUUGGCCAUCUCCCCUUU
rnacentral:rRNA from 1 species